rnacentral:rRNA from 1 species
GAUGAACGCUAGCGGCAGGCCUAACACAUGCAAGUCGAGGGGUAGAGUUCUUCGGAAUUAGAGACCGGCGCACGGGUGCGUAACGCGUAUGCAAUCUACCUUUCACAAAGGGAUAGCCCAGAGAAAUUUGGAUUAAUACCUUAUAGUAAUACGACUUGGCAUCAAGAUGUAUUUAAAGAUUUAUCGGUGAAAGAUGAGCAUGCGUCCCAUUAGCUAGUUGGUAAGGUAACGGCCCACCUAGUCUUCGAUGGAUAGGGGUUCUGAGAGGAAGGUCCCCCACAUUGGAACUGAGACACGGUCCAAACUCCUACGGGAGGCAGCAGUGGGGAAUUUUGGACAAUGGACGCAAGUCUGAUCCAGCCAUUCCGCGUGCAGGAUGAAGGCCCUCGGGUUGUAAACUGCUUUUGUACGGAACGAAAAGGUUUCUAUUAAUACUAGGAGCUCAUGACGGUACCGUAAGAAUAAGCACCGGCUAACUACGUG